CGGCGUGCUUAACACAUGCAAGUCGAACGAAGAGCGAUGGAAGCUUGCUUCUAUCAAUCUUAGUGGCGAACGGGUGAGUAACGCGUAAUCAACCUGCCCUUCAGAGGGGGACAACAGUUGGAAACGACUGCUAAUACCGCAUACGAUCUAAUCUCGGCAUCGAGGAUAGAUGAAAGGUGGCCUCUACAUGUAAGCUAUCACUGAAGGAGGGGAUUGCGUCUGAUUAGCUAGUUGGAGGGGUAACGGCCCACCAAGGCGAUGAUCAGUAGCCGGUCUGAGAGGAUGAACGGCCACAUUGGGACUGAGACACGGCCCAGACUCCUACGGGAGGCAGCAGUGGGGAAUCUUCCGCAAUGGACGAAAGUCUGACGGAGCAACGCCGCGUGAGUGAUGACGGCCUUCGGGUUGUAAAGCUCUGUUAAUCGGGACGAAAGGCCUUCUUGCGAAUAGUGAGAAGGAUUGACGGUACCGGAAUAGAAAGCCACGGCUAACUACGUG
rnacentral:rRNA from 1 species